AGAGUUUGAUCCUGGCUCAGAACGAACGCUGGCGGCGUGGAUAAGACAUGCAAGUCGAACGAGAGAAUUGCUAGCUUGCUAAUAAUUCUCUAGUGGCGCACGGGUGAGUAACACGUGAGUAACCUGCCCCCGAGAGCGGGAUAGCCCUGGGAAACUGGGAUUAAUACCGCAUAGUAUCGAAAGAUUAAAGCAGCAAUGCGCUUGGGGAUGGGCUCGCGGCCUAUUAGUUAGUUGGUGAGGUAACGGCUCACCAAGGCGAUGACGGGUAGCCGGUCUGAGAGGAUGUCCGGCCACACUGGAACUGAGACACGGUCCAGCCACCUACGGGUGGCAGCAGUCGAGAAUCAUUCACAAUGGGGGAAACCCUGAUGGUGCGACGCCGCGUGGGGGAAUGAAGGUCUUCGGAUUGUAAACCCCUGUCAUGUGGGAGCAAAUUAAAAAGAUAGUACCACAAGAGGAAGAGACGGCUAACUCUGUGCCAGCAGCCGCGGUAAUACAGAGGUCUCAAGCGUUGUUCGGAAUCACUGGGCGUAAAGCGUGCGUAGGCUGUUUCGUAAGUCGUGUGUGAAAGGCGCGGGCUCAACCCGCGGACGGCACAUGAUACUGCGAGACUAGAGUAAUGGAGGGGGAACCGGAAUUCUCGGUGUAGCAGUGAAAUGCGUAGAUAUCGAGAGGAACACUCGUGGCGAAGGCGGGUUCCUGGACAUUAACUGACGCUGAGGCACGAAGGCCAGGGGAGCGAAAGGGAUUAGAUACCCCUGUAGUCCUGGCAGUAAACGGUGCACGCUUGGUGUGCGGGGAAUCGACCCCCUGCGUGCCGGAGCUAACGCGUUAAGCGUGCCGCCUGGGGAGUACGGUCGCAAGAUUAAAACUCAAAGAAAUUGACGGGGACCCGCACAAGCGGUGGAGUAUGUGGCUUAAUUCGAUGCAACGCGAAGAACCUUACCUGGGCUUGACAUGUAAUGAACAACAUGUGAAAGCAUGCGACUCUUCGGAGGCGUUACACAGGUGCUGCAUGGCCGUCGUCAGCUCGUGUCGUGAGAUGUUUGGUUAAGUCCAGCAACGAGCGCAACCCCUGUUGCCAGUUACCAGCACGUGAAGGUGGGGACUCUGGCGAGACUGCCCAGAUCAACUGGGAGGAAGGUGGGGACGACGUCAGGUCAGUAUGGCCCUUAUGCCCAGGGCUGCACACGUACUACAAUGCCCAGUACAGAGGGGGCCGAAGCCGCGAGGCGGAGGAAAUCCUAAAAACUGGGCCCAGUUCGGACUGUAGGCUGCAACCCGCCUACACGAAGCCGGAAUCGCUAGUAAUGGCGCAUCAGCUACGGCGCCGUGAAUACGUUCCCGGGUCUUGCACUCACCGCCCGUCA
rnacentral:rRNA from 1 species